rnacentral:snoRNA from 1 species
GCACCUAAAUCUUUCCCAUCCCUUGCUGCUUCGUGCUGGUGUGGGGACAGAUGGUGCUACAAUACCAGCAGAGGAAAUCCAGAUGGGUCAUUUCCAUUUGUCUUGGGGCCUGUCUCUACAACUCUGCCACAUUU